AUUGAACGCUGGCGGCAUGCCUUACACAUGCAAGUCGAACGGCAGCACGGGAGCAAUCCAGGUGGCGAGUGGCGAACGGGUGAGUAAAGUAUCGGAACGUGCCCAGUCGUGGGGGAUAACGUAGCGAAAGUUACGCUAAUACCGCAUACGAUCUAUGGAUGAAAGCGGGGGAUCGCAAGACCUCGCGCGAUUGGAGCGGCCGAUAGCAGAUUAGGUAGUUGGUGGGGUAAAGGCCCACCAAGCCGACGAUCUGUAGCUGGUCUGAGAGGACGACCAGCCACACUGGGACUGAGACACGGCCCAGACUCCUACGGGAGGCAGCAGUGGGGAAUUUUGGACAAUGGGCGAAUGCCUGAUCCAGCCAUGCCGCGUGCAGGAUGAAGGCCUUCGGGUUGUAAACUGCUUUUGUACGGAACGAAAAGGACUGCCCUAAUACGGUGGUCCCAUGACGGUACCGUAAGAAUAAGCACCGGCUAACUACGUGCCAGCCGCCGCAGUAAUAC
rnacentral:rRNA from 1 species